UGCCCUACGGGACGCAGCAGUGAGGAAUAUUGGUCAAUGGGCGAGAGCCUGAACCAGCCAAGUCGCGUGAAGGAUGACUGUCUUAUGGAUUGUAAACUUCUUUUAUACGGGAAUAACAAGAGUCACGAGUGACUCCCUGCAUGUACCGUAUGAAUAAGCAUCGGCUAACUCCGUGCCAGCAGCCGCGGUAAUACGGAGGAUGCGAGCGUUAUCCGGAUUUAUUGGGUUUAAAGGGUGCGUAGGCGGCCUGUUAAGUCAGCGGUGAAAUCUAGGAGCUUAACUCCUAAAUUG
rnacentral:rRNA from 1 species